CACAAUUAAUUUUUUGUGCACAGUGCCCAGAUUUUUUGUAGUGUUUAUCAACUUCCUAGAAAUUUUCUUCCAGAACGACAUGCUGUAAUGUGAGAUGAUAUUUACACCCUUCAUAACAUCUGGAUUGCCUGACGUCCCAAGGGCAAAAAUGUUACCAUCCUUGAUACCAAUAUUUGCCUUGUAUAUCCCGCUAUAAUCAAUGAUCACAGCAUUAGUUAUAACCAUAUCCAGUGAAUCAGCUCGGUCGUUCCCAGAUGAA
rnacentral:sRNA from 1 species